UAGAUUCCUUCGUAUUGGAUGAAUAGUUGGAGGUGGAAGAGAGUGUUGUGUCAAGGCUGGUGUUAACUGCGGUUGUGAUACCGUGAAACCGCAUUAUCCGCUGGUGCACAGAGGCAGUAAAUUGGAUUUAGGAAAGAAGUGCCCACUGCUCAUGGAACGGAUUUUCCUUGCGCCAAGUGUUCUCAUUCAUAUUCGAUUUCGUCUUGUGCCCAUUUUGAAAAAAUCGUCAAGAAUAUGUCGGGAGUGAUUGAGCCACUUCGUCCACAACCUAUUAUGGCGUAUUAGCGUAUCAACAAGCUAUAAAGGUAUCUACUAUUAUUAUUUAUUAUUGUAUAAUAUAUAGGUAUAGUUUGAGAACUGCAUUGCGACUUUAAACUGGUAAUAAACACUAUGUAAGAAACAUUGAAUUGUACUUACCUCUUGUAGAUUUCAUUUUUCGAACGAUUGACCACACUUAUUUUCAUGCAAGAG